rnacentral:rRNA from 1 species
GACGAACGCUGGCGGCGUGCCUAAUACAUGCAAGUAGAACGCUGAACUGCGCUCUUGCUUCCUUGGCUGAGUUGCGAACGGGUGAGUAACGAGUAGGUAUCCUGCCCGGUCGCGGGGGACAACCAUUGGAAACGGUAGCUACUACCUCAUAACAGUCGAUCUCGCACGACCUUGGCUUAAAAGGUCCACUUGGAUCACUACUACAUGCUCCUGCCUUGUAUUAGCUAGUUGGUGCGGUAACGGCACACCAAGGCAACGAUACAUAGCCGACCUGGGAGGGUGAUCGGCCAGGCCGGAGCUGGGAAACGGCCCAGAGUGCUACGGGAGGCAGCAGUAGGGAAUCUUCGGGGAUGGAGGGAAGACUGACGGAGAAAGGGCGCAUGAGUGAAGAAGGAUUUCGGAUCGUAAAACUCUGUUGUAAGGGAAGAACGGGUGUUAGAGUAGAGAAGACGAACGGUACGGGUAUCGUAGCAGAAGCGAAGGCCAAACUCGGU